GUCUACAGCCAUACAACCCUGAACACGCCCGAUCUUGUUUCAUCUCAGAAGCUAAGCAGGUUUGGGUCUGGUUAGUACUUGGAUGGGAGACAGCCUGGGAAUACCAAGUGCUGUAGGCU
rnacentral:rRNA from 1 species